GAACAUUUUCAGCUACUUGGACUCAGCUCAGCCACUACAGAGGAAACAAUGAGCUCAACACAGAAGGACCUGCUGAGACCAUUUCAGUAAUCGUCUUCUUAACUCAGGACCAACAUGGAGCGAGAAGUCAGCGCUCUCAGGAGGCCGACAAACCUCACAGAAGAAAGAGAGA